rnacentral:pre_miRNA from 1 species
UUUCUACUCCCUCCGUCCUAAAAUACUUGUCAUCAAAAUGGAUAAAAAGAGAUGUAUCUAAAACUAAAAUACGUCUAGAUACAUUUCCUUUUAUCCAUUUUGAUGACAAGUAUUUCCGGACGGACGGAGUAUUUG